AGCAGCGUAGAGCAGCAGGUAGCUCGCCAGGUUCAUACCCUGGAGGCCGCAGGUUCGAUUCCUGCCGCUGCAACCA
rnacentral:tRNA from 1 species